rnacentral:rRNA from 1 species
UACGUAGGGGGCUAGCGUUGUCCGGAAUCAUUGGGCGUAAAGCGCGUGUAGGCGGCCCGGUAAGUCCGCUGUGAAAGUCGGGGGCUCAACCCUCGAAAGCCGGUGGAUACUGUCGGGCUCGAGUGCGGAAGAGGCGAGUGGAAAUUCCUGGUGUAGCGGUGAAAUGCGCAGAUAUCAGGAGGAACACCGAUUGCGAAGGCAGCUCGCUGGGACGUUACUGACGCUGAGACGCGAAAGCGUGGGGAGCAAACAGG